GUGGGGAAUAUUGGACAAUGGGGGGAACCCUGAUCCAGCCAUGCCGCGUGUGUGAAGAAGGCCUUUUGGUUGUAAAGCACUUUAAGCGAGGAGGAGGCUACCGAGAUUAAUACUCUUGGAUAGUGGACGUUACUCGCAGAAUAAGCACCGGCUAACUCUGUGCCAGCAGCCGCGGUAAUACAGAGGGUGCAAGCGUUAAUCGGAUUUACUGGGCGUAAAGCGCGCGUAGGUGGCCAAUUAAGUCAAAUGUGAAAUCCCCGAGCUUAACUUGGGAAUUGCAUUCGAUACUGGUUGGCUAGAGUAUGGGAGAGGAUGGUAGAAUUCCAGGUGUAGCGGUGAAAUGCGUAGAGAUCUGGAGGAAUACCGAUGGCGAAGGCAGCCAUCUGGCCUAAUACUGACACUGAGGUGCGAAAGCAUGGGGAGCAAAUGGGAUUAGAUACCCGGGUAGUCC
rnacentral:rRNA from 1 species